UACGUAGGGUGCAAGCGUUGUCCGGAAUUAUUGGGCGUAAAGAGCUCGUAGGUGGUUUGCUGCGUCCGCUGUGAAAACCCAAGGCUUAACCUUGGGCUUGCAGUGGAUACGGGCAGACUAGAGGUAGGUAGGGGAGAAUGGAAUUCCCGGUGUAGCGGUGAAAUGCGCAGAUAUCGGGAGGAACACCGGUGGCGAAGGCGGUUCUCUGGGCCUUACCUGACACUGAGGAGCGAAAGCGUGGGGAGCGAACAGG
rnacentral:rRNA from 1 species